AGGUAUUGAAAUAAGAUUUUAAUUGAAUGCUAAGAGAAUGGAAGUCCAGAAAAAAACUUUUUUUAAAUUAAAAAUUGAAGUUUUUUUAAUUUGUGCAGAAACAAUUAUUUAUAUUAAAGACAAGAAGACCCUAUGAAUUUAUUAAAUUUUUAUUUAAUAUGUAAUUACUAUUAGAAAAAUUUUGGCUGGGGCGGCUAGAAAAUAUUAUGAACUUUUUAAAAAUAAAA
rnacentral:rRNA from 1 species